rnacentral:rRNA from 1 species
UUUUUUUUUUUUGGUAGUUUAUUUAGUAUUGUGUACUAGUAGAAGAUAUUUUUAUUUUUAUUAAUAAUAAAAUUUAUCUGUUAUGUAUAUUUUUUUUUUUGUUUUAAAAAUAAAUAUAGAUAGGAAAAAAAAAUAUGUAUUGAUAAGACGUAGAUAGAGUUUUUUGUUUUUUUUUUUUAUUGGAAAUUUAUAUUUUUUUUUCUUAUUUUUUUUUAUAUAUGAUUAGAAUUGUUUUUUUAUGUAUAAUAACAUGAAAAGUGAAGGGAGAGAGUAAUUUAAGAUUGUUUUUUUAUUUGAUUUUAAAUAAAUAAAAAAUUUUUAUUUUAGUAAAAAGAAAGGAAAAAAAGAGAAAGAAGAUUUUAAAUUUUUUUUGUGAGAAAUGGGAAUAAGGUCAAAUGUUUUUUAAAGACUUAGGUUUUUUAUUAAAAUUGUUUUCUGCUCUAUGAAUUUAUGUUUAAAUGGCAACCUUAGUUUGAGGGUGAUAAGGUAGCAUAAUGGUUUGUGUUUUUAUUGGAUUCUGGUAUGAAUGGAAUUUUUGGCUUUUGUUUUUUUUAUUAUUUUUGUUUGAAUUAUUAUUAUAUUUAAAAAAAAAUAUAUUUAUUUAAACUAAGAUAAGUCUUCGGAAAUUUUUUUUAUAGUUGUUUGGGGUAAAGAAAAUUGGUAUUUUUUUUUAAACUAAGUUUAAUUGUGUAAAUUACUUCGGAGUUAACAGAAUGUUUAUUUUUGAUAUAGUUUCUUAUAUUAUUAAUAAUAUUACAUCGAUGUUGUAUUUUUUUGUAUUGUUUAUUAGGUAGGUAUAAUAAUUUUUUAGACUGUUCUUCUUUUUUUUUUGUUAAAAAUAAAACGUGAUAUUAGUUUAAUUCAUUGUGAAAUAGAAUUGUUUAUCUAGUUAAAUAAGAGUAGUGUUUUUUAUUAGUACGAAAGGAAUAUAGAUAAAAUUUGAAAUUUAUUUU